ensembl:lncRNA
GUUGUGUUUUACUUGGUUCUGUCCUGUGUUUCAUGCAUCCUGAGUUUUGUUUAAUACAUUUUAAUAUUGUUGUAAAUAGAUCCUGCUUCAACUACUUCUUUUGCCACCACCUGUGACAGAAUAACGGACCAAAUUAUAAUGGAUCUACCAGCAAAGAAAAUCCUUCUUCUCUCAAAGGGUAACCAGACUGCGUGUGCCCGGAAAUGAGCCUCUAGGGACUUUCUUGGAGUAAGUGGAGUGGAUACUCCUCCACAACGGUGCCCCCUUCACCAUCUAUAAGAGUGGGGAGGAAGUUGGCGCUUCGGCCACUACCACCACCAGUGAUGCCUGAGACCACCGCAGACAAUGAGCCCAAGCCUGCCACAAUAGGAGAGCCUGAGCUGAAGCCAGAACAUGAAGUCUGACCAAAUCAAAGAAGUCUGAUCAGGUGCGUGAGCUGGCAAAAGUGCCUGUGCCAGUGGGAUUACUGGUGGAGUACAGGGGGAUGUUAUGGAGCCCUACCCCCUCAGCAGCGGCAGAAGAUGGAGUGCUAACGGACUGAGAGAGAUGUGGAGUGAUUUUCAGCUGGAGCUGAGGAGGUUGGUUUAAGGGAAAAGUGUGAUUAUGUGUCUUGCAUAGGGUGGAGGUCACAAAUAAUCGUUCAUCUCAUCAUUCUACUCAUACCUAGACCUUCAUUCACUCUGACUCAGACACAAGGACAUAUGUAUCAGUCUAUAAAUAUUCUGUGCUUACACCUAAAGCAAAUUCACCCUUGUGCAUUCUUAAAGGCAUUCAGUUCAUGUAAGAAUGGAAAAACGGCCUCCCUGAAAAAGAAAUAGAUAACAUAAGGGCACUUACAAACACGUGCGCACACCUUCAAACACUAUGUUAUUAUUUGCAUUCAAAGUGACUGUUAAACUUACUACUACUGACAUGAUGCUAUACUACUAUGACAUAGUACUUGUUAAGCAGUGAAUGAACCAAAAAUGUCUCCUACGUUUCCUAAAAGUCUGCUUGGGUCAUUUGUAGGACAAUCUAGAUAUUUCUUUUUUUUUUUAAAUCAAAUGAAUUGUACAAAGGUGACACAUAAGAAUAAAAUGUUAUGUUAUUAAUGCAAUCUGAAUGUGUAUAUUUCUUAUGUGUAUGACAACUGUACUGAAACAUUCCCCUGUGAAAGUAUAAAAAAAAAAAACCCUUGUGCAUUCAUUAAAUGAGCCACGUGAUGGCACUGUUGUAUUAUAUUCCAG